rnacentral:rRNA from 1 species
AUUGAACGCUGGCGGCAGGCUUAACACAUGCAAGUCGAGCGGUAACAGAGAGAAGCUUGCUUCUCUGCUGACGAGCGGCGGACGGGUGAGUAAUGCCUAGGAAUCUGCCUAGUAGUGGGGGAUAACUUGCCGAAAGGUAAGCUAAUACCGCAUACGUCCUACGGGAGAAAGGAGGGGACCUUCGGGCCUUUCGCUAUUAGAUGAGCCUAGGUCGGAUUAGUUAGUUGGUGAGGUAAUGGCUCACCAAGGCCGCGAUCCGUAACUGGUCUGAGAGGAUGAUCAGUCAAACUGGAACUGAGACACGGUCCAGACGCCUACGGGAGGCAGCAGUGGGGAAUAUUGGACAAUGGGGGGAACCCUGAUCCAGCCAUGCCGCGUGUGUGAAGAAGGUCUUAGGAUUGUAAAGCACUUUAAGUUGGGAGGAAGAGCAGUUAACUAAUAUUUGACUGUUUUGACGUUACCGACAGAAUAAGCACCGGCUAACUUCGUGCCAGCCGCCGCCGUAA